CCAAUAGCGUAUAUUAAAGUUGUUGCAGUUAAAAAGCUCGUAGUUGAAUUUCGAGAUCAAAUUGUUGGUCGUGCCUUGGUACGUACUGGCAUUAUUGGUUUCUCCCUUCUGAAGAACCAUGAUGUCAUUAAUUUGGUGUCAUGGGGAAUCAGGACUGUUACUUUGAAAAAAUUAGAGUGUUUAAAGCAGGCUCGCGCUUGAAUACAUUAGCAUGGAAUAAUGAAAUAGGACGUUUAAUUCUAUUUUGUUGGUUUCUAGGAUUGACGUAAUGAUUAAUAGGGAUAGUUGGGGGCAUUAGUAUUCAAUUGUCAGAGGUGAAAUUCUUGGAUUUAUUGAAGACUAACUACUGCGAAAGCAUUUGCCAAGGAUGUUUUCAUUAAUCAAGAACGAAAGUUAGGGGAUCGAAGACGAUCAGAUACCGUCGUAGUCUUAACCAUAAACUAUGCCGACUAGGGAUCGGAUGACGUUAAUUUUUUAAUGACUCAUUCGGCGCCUUACG
rnacentral:rRNA from 1 species